rnacentral:rRNA from 1 species
AUUGAACGCUGGCGGCAGGCCUAACACAUGCAAGUCGAGCGGAUGAAGGGAGCUUGCUCCUGGAUUCAGCGGCGGACGGGUGAGUAAUGCCUAGGAAUCUGCCUGGUAGUGGGGGAUAACGUCCGGAAACGGGCGCUAAUACCGCAUACGUCCUGAGGGAGAAAGUGGGGGAUCUUCGGACCUCACGCUAUCAGAUGAGCCUAGGUCGGAUUAGCUAGUUGGUGGGGUAAAGGCCUACCAAGGCGACGAUCCGUAACUGGUCUGAGAGGAUGAUCAGUCACACUAGAACUGAGACACGGUCCAGACUCCUACGGGAGGCAGCAGUGGGGAAUAUUGGACAAUGGGCGAAAGCCUGAUCCAGCCAUGCCGCGUGUGUGAAGAAGGUCUUCGGAUUGUAAAGCGCUUUAAGUUGGGAGGAAGGGCAGUAAGUUAAUACCUUGCUGUUUUGACGUUACCAACAGAAUAAGCACCGGCUAACUUCGUG